GCAGGGAUGGUGGAACGGUAGACACGAUAGGUUGAGGGCCUAUUGCCGCGAGGCGUGGGGGUUCAAAUCCCCCUCCCUGCA
rnacentral:tRNA from 3 species